UGGUUACCGCAGGGGUGCUUGGGUGGGGGAGGGCUGGGGUGGUACGAAGGGGUGCCGGGGUGAGCAGACUGGGAUUGGGGUUGGAGUGGAGAGGGUGGGGCGGCAGAGCCAGAGUGGAGCGGCGCGGCCCUGGGUUCUGGUCUGGGUUAGGGGAUUUGGGCCGGGGUUUGGGAUCGCGGCGGCGGUACGACGCGGCGGAGCGGAGGCGGCGGCGGGGCGCCCGGAAGAAGAGCGGGAGGGGCCGCCGCCCGGUGCGGGGCGCGGCGCUCAUGCCCGACCAGGGGUACCAGUAGCUCGUGUGGAGGGCGCCCCUCGCGCGGAUGCUGUAGAAGAGGGCGGAGGAGUUCCUCGCGUAGCAGACGUAGGUGCCCGGGUAGCGGCUGCUGUGCCGGAGCGAGCAGCAGCGCGUCGACGAGAAGGAGCUCAGGCUCUUGGGGCGGUUCGGCUAGGUGGAGAUGUAGUUGAGGGGGCCGCCCCAGCAGUGGCGCCCGGAGCGCUAGAUGCUGUGGUACGUCAUGUAGGCGAGGGGCCAGUGGUGCGAGACGUAGCCGGUCCGGCGGAGGUACCCGAGCGACGACGAGCGGCGGCCGCGCGGGCCGCUCGCCGCGCGCGACGGGUUGCGGGCCCAAUACUAGGUGGUCGGCAGCCCGCCACGGAGGCCCGUCCGGAGGCUGUAACGCUAGGUCCGGUUCCUCUAGGAGUUCCACGCGCUGGCGGAGUUGUUCUAGAUGCGGUUCGUGUGCCCGGUCCGGUAGCUGGCGUAGCUCGUCACAUACCUCUCCCUGUACAAAUACCUGGGUCACCUCCGCGUGCGGACCCCCGAGUAGCUACUCCAGUAGCUCGUGGCGGGUUAAAGUGAGCAAAGACUACGGCACUCGUCGCUCGGCGGCUUCUUGCGGCCUCCUCCCCUUUUGUUCCCUUGUCUCCUCGGCAGAGGUCGAACUACCCACCAACGUUCCACGUUAGGAAAAACGCAAGGACAUCGACAGAGCAACCUAAAGUUGUAAGUUACGAAUUAAGAAUGUAUUCCAAUGUUGAACAAUAAGACGCCGUCUGCCAAAUAGUGAUCGAUUCGACUACAAAACGAUGAACGUAAUUAGACGACGACUACUACCUACGUUAGGAACGAACGAAUGAAUAUCGGUAUAGUGUCAACUGCAAUACAAACAGACUUUAGUUCCAUCGGGUUGUGUUUCCUAUUUACGCCGUACAAAUGUUGUCAUCCGUGUAAAAAACAACCGGAUAACCUCGUUCAACCCUUACCAUAUUUUGUUUAAAGAUUAACCACUAAGAACAUAGAACACAAGCUAUUAAAAUCAACGCGGAACAACUACAUACACUAAAGUAAAUUACUCAACUAUGGUAUUAAAAUCAAAACGGAGGAAGUAAUAAAAUAAAGUAAGGUUCUCAGUAGGUAGUCAACCUUAAAGUAUGUUAGUUACGACAGGUCAAACAGAAAACAUUUCUUUGUUGAAAUAACAAAUUAAGUUACGAUGAUCAUUAUAUAGUGACUGCUGGUGAUAGAAAGUUCCCGUAAUUAGACAUUAUCAUGGAAAUGGAAAUAUAAUGAUCAUAUUAUCUUCUUGUACGUCGGAUAGUGACUUUUGUUUGGGUAACACUGUUUGACGAAAACGUAAACUAUCCAGUUUGGUAUACUUAACUCGGUAUUCAAUUGAUUAUGAGGGAGGCAAGGUUGGUACUGUUCUUAAUACCUUGCUCCCUCAUGUGUCAUCAGUCAGCCGGUACAAUAACGUGGUGCAGACAAUAUAUGUCUCUAAAGAUCGUAAGAGGACCACGAUAGGAAUACGUCGUAUAUACAUACAAUGACCGUUAUUUCAAACUCCUAGGUAACAAAGGAAUUAUCCACAGAGCAUACCUCGUGUAAGGACGCUUUAACAGGUCAUAACCUCAUUAUACAUUCGUCAUGGAACAGACAAACUCGAAACCCAUAUCGAAUAUAAAUAAGUUCAGAUAUCGUACCUGGUAGACCACACUCUUAAAAUCCGAGUAGUCUUUAUUACGAUUAAAACUUACCAAGUAAUCUCAAAUUAUAUCCAGUUGCCCAGACAUCUACCAAAUGACAUGUAGACAAGUAGGUUAGUAUUAUCCUGGAGAAUCGUCAAGAAUUCAUCGUGAAAGAUGAUCUGUAUUUAGUAGAUUACUCUCCGAAGGACCGGACCGACCGUCGUCAUAAACCGGGUAAAUACGAACUAUAUGUGUACCGUGUUUAUACGAAUUCUCUGAAAAUUAUACGUAGUAUCAAACCUGGAACUUCCGCAUGGAUUUAAAGCUUGUUGUUUUAUAAACUGAUGGAAUAUCCAAAUGUCUUUAAUAC
rnacentral:rRNA from 1 species